UACAGAGGGUGCGAGCGUUUGUCCGGAAUCACUGGGCGUAAAGGGCGCGUAGGUGGCGCCCCAAGUCCGUGGUGAAAGCUCGAUGCUCAACAUCGAGUCGGCCACGGAAACUGGGGGGCUCGAGCACUGUAGAGGCAGAUGGAAUUCCGGGUGUAGCGGUGGAAUGCGUAGAGAUCCGGAAGAACACCGGGUGGCGAAGGCGGUCUGCUGGGCAGUAGCUGACACUGAGCGCGACAGCGAGGGGAGCAAACAGG
rnacentral:rRNA from 1 species